UUUACUUUUUCUUGCGGCCUUUUUGGUGGCUAACUUCCAAUUCGUCGAAUGUCUUUAUAGACACAACAGACAUCCGCUUUCUCAGUACAUUAUCAAAACUUGAAUAAAUCAUUAAUAAACUUUACAAAAUUACCAUGUUGUUAAAUUUAUUUUCUAAAAAACACUGAGUUUCUAUUGGUACAGUCUUAAUAAUGAAAAGAAUUAUCUGAUUAAUAAUUUGGAGUUGUUUAUGGACUUUUCCAAUAAUAAUAAAAUAAUAAAAAUUAAAACGACACUUUCUACAAAAUAUGUUUGUAUAUUUUUGUAGUGAUUCAACAGCACUAUAAUUAAGAAUCCAUUUUGUGAAAAUCGACCGAGUUGAUUACGUGACGAAAACCAAAACCAUACAUGAGUCGAAUUACGUUGCGAAAAUUCCGAGUAAAUAUAAAAUAUUAACAUUUUAAAAGAAAUAAAAUAAUUUUAACUAUAAGAUAAAAUACUAGAUUCUAUAUCGACAAUGAAAAGAAUGGAUCUAUCAAAAUAAGUGAAAGAAUUUUAAAUCUAAAUAAUUUAUAUAGAAUUAAAUGUAUAUGUUUGAAAUGAAUUUACUGCAACUGCUUUGGAUCGGUGGACUCUCUUCUGGAAAUAUCCAUAUAAUCAAAUUUGAUAUACCAAUAUGGAGUUUAUGUAAUUAACUCGCUAAUUCGUUACACAAAUGUCAGCUUUUACAUUUUGCUAAACUAUAAAAGCCUUAAAACAAUGAUGUGGAGUAACAAUUUCAAUUCAGAAAAGAUGCAGUAACAUCGUUUGGCUAUUUCCUGGCUGUUGCCAUUUUAGCUUUAGGCUUGCAGCCAGCUGAAUGUGGAAGAAAACUGACUACUAUGAAACCCAUCAAAAGACCCACAUUGAGGCCUGACUUUUGGGAUUAGUCCUGACAACUCGACAACGCAUCAAAAAACCGUAAAAAGAAAUAUUGUAAUUUUGUGAACCUUUCGAAUUUGUUUGCAUAUAAUAAAAUUAAACAAAAAUUGCUUUAGUAA